UCUGCCCGCUGGCGGCGUGCCUAAUACAUGCAAGUCGAGCGAACGGACGAGAAGCUUGCUUUUCUGAUGUUAGCGGCGGACGGGUGAGUAACACGUGGAUAACCUACCUAUAAGACUGGGAUAACUUCGGGAAACCGGAGCUAAUACCGGAUAAUAUUUUGAACCGCAUGGUUCAAAAGUGAAAGACGGUCUUGCUGUCACUUAUAGAUGGAUCCGCGCUGCAUUAGCUAGUUGGUAAGGUAACGGCUUACCAAGGCAACGAUGCAUAGCCGACCUGAGAGGGUGAUAGGCCACACUGGAACUGAGACACGGUCCAGACUCCUACGGGAGGCAGCAGUAGGGAAUCUUCCGCAAUGGGCGAAAGCCUGACGGAGCAACGCCGCGUGAGUGAUGAAGGUCUUCGGAUCGUAAAACUCUGUUAUUAGGGAAGAACAUAUGUGUAAGUAACUGUGCACAUCUUGACGGUACCUAAUCAGAAAGCCACGGCUAACUACGUG
rnacentral:rRNA from 1 species